AGAAAUUCUGAGCUGCUGCAUGAACAUUCAUCAAACAUAUAAGGCUGCAAUUUGGAAAAAAACUUUCAAGCUAAUGCUGCUGAAAUGGAGGUCAAGGGGACUAUGAAGAGGUGGCUUCCAGCUGAUCAAAAGUUACAAUAAUCAGCUGAUCCAGUCGGUAUCCAGACCAGACGGUGGACCUGCACCAGGAGUGACCACAACACAUCCCUGACUGUCAGCGGAGACCAUGUCAGCUAGAUGACAGAUCCCUGUGAAGACCUCACUGAUGGCCUCAGCACAGAUCCUCAGCAAAGACUACGAGAACCAGACAAGCCCUCUGCACAGACCCUUUUACCAGCUUCACCUGCUGGCGUGAUGUUUCCUCAAGCAGAAGAAGUUGGAUGAAAUAUUCUGAAUGAUAUCAAUCCACAAUCUGACUUGUGAUGCAGCCUGGAAUAAUCACACCACGUUCAUUCGUUUGGCCAGACGAGACUGUUUCCUGACUGAGCCGGGUCUUGUUUGGGUUUGGGUUCCUUGUCACUGUUGCCUUUUGUCUUGCUUGGUUGAAGACACCUAAUAUUCAGCAAUAUUAUUGACUUGACUGCACUGACACCAUUUGAUAAGAACUGAACUGAAUUAUGACACACAAUGUUUUAUAUAUGAAGUUUAUUUGCAAAAACGGAUAACGGAUAAAAUUUUGUUUUUUGUUAUCAUGUUUUUGUUUUAUUGUGUUAGUUAGCUAGUAUUUAUUAGUUAUUCUUUACCUAA